CACUGAACUAGGAACUGGACACUAAAAAUACAUACACAGGCGACCUCUGAUAGCAUUAGGUUUUGGAAGCAGGGUGAAGGCUUGCAAAUUGUGUUACAGCUGUGUCAUUACUCUAAUUAUUAUGGUUCAGGGGAAGGGAUUUGACAUGCUGUAUAUCCGACCUGCAGAUUCAUGAGCCAAGUUGUAGUAGCCGUUUGAGUUACUGCUUGUUGUUUCAAUGAAGAUGAUCCAGAAUCUAUAGAAUAAGAGUGUAUAUUUUGCUAAAACUGAAAACCUGGCCCCCGCUUUUUUUUGCUUAUGUUGUUUGUGUUGUGUUUCAUAAAGCCAUCAGCAGUUAAUGAUCUUGUGAUUUACUCAGACAGAAGAGCACCCACCAAAAAAAAAGGUUGAAAACAGAAUUGAAAGUUAUGUUACAACAUAAACUUGGCUUGUGAAAAAGAAACAGUAAUUUUCUAAUGCCACCCAGUUUUCUCGGGGUGAAAAUCAGGACCUUUCCAUGUUGCAAAUAGAUACCAAGUGAACAAAGAUCUUAGUGUGACAUUUUAAAUGCUCCUGAUAUUUUUAAAUGCUUACUCCCAAGCCUUAAAGGGUUUUGUCCGUAGAGAGAUGGGAAAUUUGAGUGGUUUUUUUUUUCUUUUUUAGAUUUUCUAUUAUUUAUAAAAUUCAUGUUGGAAAUCGUGAAUAUUGUGUUAGAUCCUUACAUCAAAGUGGUCAUAGCCUUGAUAGAAAGAAAAUACAGACAACCACUAUCCCCUUAGGUUUAUUUGAAUGCACUUUUUUCUAUGUGAAUAAAAUUUUCUUCUUGAAAUAUCUGUAGCAGGGAGUGAUUUUUGUUGAGAGGCAGUGUGCAUUUUUAAACUUUAUUCCUAUUUUAUUUAUACUCCACUGAAAUAGAUUUAAGAAACAAAAUAUAUUUAAGCAAGGAUCUCCAUUACUUAUGAGAAUUAUGUAUUGUCAAAUUUUAAGUCAUCAUUUUAUUCAAGCAAUCCAAUUAAGGGAGUCUCUUUUGAAGAAGUGGGAAACGUGUCAAGCUCAAACUCUGUGCGGUGUAAAGGUGUCUAUUUCUCAGAAAACCCAGUGUGUUUCAGUUCUUAGAGCAGACACUAUAAAAGAGUCCGUGUCUAAUCCUGUGAGUGAAAUUCUCUUAAAAGAGAAUGCUGAAUACAGAAGAAGGAAUUAGUGAUAGCUAAGAAAAUGUCCUUCUCCAUUCACUUUACAGUAUGGCCACUGUUCCCCCCAGCUCAGAUAGCUCUACUUGGAGCACAAUCCCAGGGAUUUCAGGAUCAAGUGGGAAGAAACACAUCUCAGUGACAGGCAUGGCAUUAAACCUGCAGAAUGGCAUUUUAUUGAGUACUUAUUUGUGUUUUCAGGGCUUCUAAAACACAAUAAUGUGUAACCUAUGAGUGAUAUAAAUGCAUUUCAUUAACAGGCAGUACAGAGUUUCAAACGGAAGUAAG
rnacentral:lncRNA from 1 species